rnacentral:rRNA from 1 species
UACGGGGGGGGCAAGCGUUGUUCGGAAUUACUGGGCGUAAAGGGCUCGUAGGCGGCCAACUAAGUCGGAUGUGAAAUCCCCAAGCUUAACUUGGGAACUGCAUCCGAUACUGGAUGGCUUGAAUCCGGGAGAGGGAUGCAGAAUUCCAGGUGUAGCGGUGAAAUGCGUAGAUAUCUGGAGGAAUACCGGUGGCGAAGGCGGCAUCCUGGACCGGCAUUGACGCUGAGGAGCGAAAGCUAGGGGAGCAAACGGG